rnacentral:lncRNA from 1 species
GGCGGUGUGUUUGGUUAGGUUCUGGGUCUGAAGAAUUCAGAAGAUUCAGGCUGCAGAAGAUAUUUCCCGUGGCAGUACACUUUCAGCGCUUGCCUGCUCUUGAGAAGUUCCAGGUUUUACCUGGAAGCCCUGACCUGGAACUCUCACAAGGCAAGGGGCCCCAAGAUGUCUGCAUGCCUGAAUACAGAAAGAAAAACAGGCAUGAAUGUGGCAAGGGAAUGUAAGCUGCCAUGUUGGACGAGGAGGAGAUCUUGGAUGAGAGCCAUGGUGUGGUGAGAGAAGAAUGAUUCUGAGAGCUUGGAGCUUCAUGUCCCCAACCUGCCACAAGAACCAAGAUCAUGUGCAUCUGUGACAAAAAAUCUUCAUAAAGACAUGACUGUGACUCUCCUUCCUGCUCUGGGCUACACACAUGUGGAGCUGUGGAUUAUGUGUUGGCUGGAUAAUAGGAUUUCAUGAGUCUGUAUUUAUCUCCUGUUGUCCUGUUGUUGCUUUGAUUUUCAGGUGGACUCUGUUUGUUCAAAGCCUUCUUGGCAUCGCCCACCUUAAGAUUAUUCAGAGGUAGGCACGGACCUCCAUUUUACCAUUAUUCCGUGUGCUGCCUCUGCCCAGCCAUGCAUUCAUCACAACAACUAUUGCUAGAUAGUUCAGAAUAUUUAAGCCUAAAUAUCUUACAAACUCUUGUUUCCAGCCAACCUCUUCACCCAUUGACUGCCCAUGAUUUCUUUAUCAUUUUUUAAAAUGUUGUAGAUAAUAAACUCCAACAGAUCACC